rnacentral:rRNA from 1 species
ACGUAGGAGACAAACGUUAUCCGGAGUUACUGGGCGUAAAGGGCGUGCAGGCGGUCUGUUAAGUUCGGCGUGAAAGCUCCCGGCUAAACCGGGAUAGGUCGUCGGAUACUGGCAGACUAGAGGACAGUAGAGGCGGGUGGAAUUCCGGGUGUAGUGGUGAAAUGCGUAGAGAUCCGGAGGAACACCAGUGGCGAAGGCGACCCGCUGGGCUGUACCUGACGCUAAGACGCGACAGCAUGGGGAGCGAACGGGA